rnacentral:rRNA from 1 species
CUUAUAUUCUGUAGCAAGGUUAACCGUAUAGGGGAGCCGAAGGGAAACCGAGUCUUAACUGGGCGUUAAGUUGCAGGGUAUAGACCCGAAACCCGGUGAUCUAGCCAUGGGCAGGUUGAAGGUUGGGUAACACUAACUGGAGGACCGAACCGACUAAUGUUGAAAAAUUAGCGGAUGACUUGUGGCUGGGGGUGAAAGGCCAAUCAAACCGGGAGAUAGCUGGUUCUCCCCGAAAGCUAUUUAGGUAGCGCCUCGUGAACUCAUCUUCGGGGGUAGAGCACUGUUUCGGCUAGGGGGUCAUCCCGACUUACCAACCCGAUGCAAACUGCGAAUACCGAAGAAUGUUAUCACGGGAGACACACGGCGGGUGCUAACGUCCGUCGUGAAGAGGGAAACAACCCAGACCGCCAGCUAAGGUCCCAAAGUCACAGUUAAGUGGGAAACGAUGUGGGAAGGCUCAGACAGCCAGGAUGUUGGCUUAGAAGCAGCCAUCAUUUAAAGAAAGCGUAAUAGCUCACUGGUCGAGUCGGCCUGCGCGGAAGAUGUAACGGGGCUAAACUGUGCACCGAAGCUGCGGCAGCGACGCUUAUGCGUUGUUGGGUAGGGGAGCGUUCUGUAAGCCUGCGAAGGUGUCCUGUGAGGGAUGCUGGAGGUAUCAGAAGUGCGAAUGCUGACAUAAGUAACGAUAAUGCGGGUGAAAAGCCCGCUCGCCGGAAGACCAAGGGUUCCUGUCCAACGUUAAUCGGGGCAGGGUGAGUCGACCCCUAAGGCGAGGCCGAAAGGCGUAGUCGAUGGGAAACGGGUUAAUAUUCCCGUACUUGGUGUUACUGCGAAGGGGGGACGGAGAAGGCUAUGUUGGCCGGGCGACGGUUGUCCCGGUUUAAGCGUGUAGGCUGGUUUUCCAGGCAAAUCCGGAAAAUCAAGGCUGAGGCGUGAUGACGAGGCACUACGGUGCUGAAGCAACAAAUGCCCUGCUUCCAGGAAAAGCCUCUAAGCAUCAGGUAACAUCAAAUCGUACCCCAAACCGACACAGGUGGUCAGGUAGAGAAUACCAAGGCGCUUGAGAGAACUCGGGUGAAGGAACUAGGCAAAAUGGUGCCGUAACUUCGGGAGAAGGCACGCUGACACGUAGGUGAAGUGAUUUACUCA